rnacentral:rRNA from 1 species
GACGAACGCUGGCGGCGUGCCUAAUACAUGCAAGUUGAGCGCUGAAGGUUGGUACUUGUACCAACUGGAUGAGCAGCGAACGGGUGAGUAACGCGUGGGGAAUCUGCCUUUGAGCGGGGGACAACAUUUGGAAACGAAUGCUAAUACCGCAUAAAAACUUUAAACACAAGUUUUAAGUUUGAAAGAUGCAAUUGCAUCACUCAAAGAUGAUCCCGCGUUGUAUUAGCUAGUUGGUGAGGUAAAGGCUCACCAAGGCGAUGAUACAUAGCCGACCUGAGAGGGUGAUCGGCCACAUUGGGACUGAGACACGGCCCAAACUCCUACGGGAGGCAGCAGUAGGGAAUCUUCGGCAAUGGACGAAAGUCUGACCGAGCAACGCCGCGUGAGUGAAGAAGGGUUUCGGAUCGUAAAACUCUGUUGGUAGAGAAGAACGUUGGUGAGAGUGGAAAGCUCAUCAAGUGACGGUAACUACCCAGAAAGGGACGGCUAACUACGCG